CCUUGACAUACUCGGCAAAGCUCUAGAGAUAGAGUGGAGGUUAUCCGGGAUACAGGUGGUGCAUGGUUGUCGUCAGCUCGUGUCGUGAGAUGUGGUUAAGUCCGCAACGAGCGCAACCCUUGCUUUAGUUACCAUCAUUCAGUUGGGGACUCUAGAGAGACUGCCGGUGAUAAACCGGAGGAAGGUGGGGAUGACGUCAAAUCAUCAUGCCCCUUAUGGCCUGGGCUACAAACGUAAUACAAUGGCGUAUACAAAGGGAUGCGAAAGGGCGACCUGGAGCAAAACUCACAAAGUACGUCUCAGUUCAGAUUGGAGUCUGCAACUCGACUCCAUGAAGGCGGAAUCGCUAGUAAUCGCGGAUCAGCAUGCCGCGGUGAAUACGUUCUCGGGGUUU
rnacentral:rRNA from 1 species